GAUGAACGCUAGCUACAGGCUUAACACAUGCAAGUCGAGGGGAAACGACAUCGAAAGCUUGCUUUUGAUGGGCGUCGACCGGCGCACGGGUGAGUAACGCGUAUCCAACCUGCCCAUCACUUGGGAAUAACCUUGCGAAAGUAAGACUAAUACCCAAUGAUAUCCCACGAAGGCAUCGGAAUGGGAUUAAAGAUUUAUCGGUGAUGGCUGGGGAUGCGUCUGAUUAGCUUGUUGGCGGGGUAACGGCCCACCAAGGCAACGACCAGUAGGGGUUCUGGGAGAACGGCCCCCCAAGUUGGACCUGAACCACGGUCAAAAUGCCACCGGGCGGAAGCAUUAGGGAUUAUUGGCCAUGGGCCAAGGCCCUAACCCAGCAAGGAGGCUGCAGGAAAGCCGCCCCAUGGGUUGUAAACUGCUUUUAGAAGGGAAUAAAGUGGGUCACGUGUGACUUUUUGCAUGUACCUUAUGAAUAAGGACCGGCUAAUUCCGUG
rnacentral:rRNA from 1 species